UGGCUCAGUGGUAGAGUGCUUGCCUUGCAUGCAUGAGGUUCUGGGUUCAAUUCCUCAG
rnacentral:tRNA from 1 species